GCGCACCCACAUCUCCCGCGGCGCGCAGCGAGCAGAAAAGCGAAACUUGUUGCUUCCAAAGGGAAAAACAGUUCUUCUGAAGGUAGCAGAAAGCUUGAAAAGCAUCUCCAAGGCGUCCUCUGGACUUUAUGUACUAAGCCAGGCAGGCACAGCAGCGGGGGAAACGAGGAUGGACACGGUCGUGGAGAAGUUGGUGGCCGGAGGAGCCUCCCCAGGGUCCGCCGAGCUGCGGGGCAGGUUCGAAGGGAACUUGACCCUUCGAUCGUGGUAACGCGCCGAGGUCAUUUGCAGUAUGAACGUGCUAUAUUCGAUUGGUGAAUUCUGAUAUUUAAGUCCCACGAAUUAAAAUACAUUAGAAAAUGUU